GUGACUGCGUACCUUUUGUAUAAUGGGUCAGCGACUUAUAUUCUGUAGCAAGGUUAACCGAAUAGGGGAGCCGGAGGGAAACCGAGUCUUAACCGGGCGUUAAGUUGCAGGGUAUAGACCCGAAACCCGGUGAUCUAGCCAUGGGCAGGUUGAAGGUUGGGUAACACUAACUGGAGGACCGAACCGACUAAUGUUGAAAAAUUAGCGGAUGACCUGUGGCUGGGGGUGAAAGGCCAAUCAAACCGGGAGAUAGCUGGUUCUCCCCGAAAGCUAUUUAGGUAGCGCCUCGUGAAUUCAUCUCCGGGGGUAGAGCACUGUUUCGGCUAGGGGGCCAUCCCGGCUUACCAACCCGAUGCAAACUGCGAAUACCGGAGAAUGUUAUCACGGGAGACACACGGCGGGUGCUAACGUCCGUCGUGAAGAGGGAAACAACCCAGACCGCCAGCUAAGGUCCCAAAGUCAUGGUUAAGUGGGAAACGAUGUGGGAAGGCCCAGACAGCCAGGAUGUUGGCUUAGAAGCAGCCAUCAUUUAAAGAAAGCGUAAUAGCUCACUGGUCGAGUCGGCCUGCGCGGAAGAUGUAACGGGGCUAAACCAUGCACCGAAGCUGCGGCAGCGANAAGCAGCCAUCAUUUAAAGAAAGCGUAAUAGCUCACUGGUCGAGUCGGCCUGCGCGGAAGAUGUAACGGGGCUAAACCAUGCACCGAAGCUGCGGCAGCGAACGUAUCACCCAAGACAACUUUACGGAGUUGACGAUUGACGGAGCGAAGCGACGUCAAAGCGUUCAUUAAAGUCGAGUUGGCUUAGGGAUACGUUCGUUGGGUAGGGGAGCGUUCUGUAAGCCUGCGAAGGUGGCCUGUGAGGGUUGCUGGAGGUAUCAGAAGUGCGAAUGCUGACAU
rnacentral:rRNA from 1 species